UACGGAGGAUGCGAGCGUUAUCCGGAUUUAUUGGGUUUAAAGGGUGCGUAGGCUGGUAAUUAAGUCAGUGGUGAAAUACUCCGGCUCAACCGGGGGGCUGCCGUUGAUACUGGUUACCUUGAGUAUGGUUAAGGUAGGUGGAAUGUGCAGUGUAGCGGUGAAAUGCAUAGAGAUUGCACAGAAGGCCGAUUGCGAAGGCAGCUUACUGAACCAUAACUGACGCUCAUGCACGAAAGCGUGGGGAUCAAACAGGAUUAGAUA
rnacentral:rRNA from 1 species